rnacentral:rRNA from 1 species
UACGAAGGGGGCUAGCGUUGCUCGGAAUCACUGGGCGUAAAGCGCACGUAGGCGGAUUGCUAAGUCAGGGGUGAAAUCCUGGAGCUCAACUCCAGAACUGCCUUUGAUACUGGCGACCUUGAGUCCGGGAGAGGUGAGUGGAACUGCGAGUGUAGAGGUGAAAUUCGUAGAUAUUCGCAAGAACACCAGUGGCGAAGGCGGCUCACUGGCCCGGUACUGACGCCGAGGUGCGAAAGCGUGGGGAGCAAACAGG